GUUGAUAGAUUGAACAAUGAAAUGUCGAUAGUGACAAAAUAAUAUCUGUUGUCCUAAAUAAUCAAAUAGUGGAUUUUGAUUAAGUAAAAGGUUUUGUGUUGAAGCGUUUGUAAAGUGUUGUUAAGGGAAGGAUGCGAAACACGCAAAAUCGUGAAAUCAAAAAAUGUUAUUCAAUUGGUUGAGUGUUUAUUUUUUAGCCAUCAUCACCAUCAUCAAGAUCAACAUCAGCAGCAUCAACAGCAUCACCAUCAACAGCAACAACAUCAUGAUCAUCAUCAUUAUCAUCUGUUAUUAUCACCAUUAUUUUUGUUCCUCAUCAAAUCUCUCUCAUUUACUUUAAUAUGGAUCGCUAUUUUUCCCUUCAACUAUUAUUAAGUUGAUCUCAAAUUAGACUUGAUUUAACAGGUUAAAGGUGAUUAUUUUGGCUGUUAAUCUCAUUUUUAAAUAAGCAUCAAUAAUAGUGAGUGAACCAGUAAAAGCAAACAAUCGAAACGGUUGAAAAACAAUUCAAUUAGAAGACCUGAAAUAAACCAAGAAAAGGUGCAAUUGGUUUACAAAUGGUUGAAUUAAUAAGAAAAAAAACUGGUCAUUGGAUUUGACCUUAUCCUUUAACCAACAAAUAAAAUGAGCAACCCAAAAGGCCUAAUGGAUUUGCUGUUGCUUGUGAAUCCCAAGAAUUCAAUUUCAAUGGUCAUUUUGAGCAAUUGAAAAAAAAUAUUCAAUGAUAAUUGCAGCAAUGAUGGUUAUGGUGAUACAAAGGCAGCAAGCAAAAAGGUAAAAUUUUAAUGUGAGAAAUUGAAAGGCCAGACAAAAUAGUAACCGUUCAAGAUUCAGUUGAUCAUCAUAUUCAGAUUGUCCUCAAUUUCACCCAAUGAAAUGAACAAAAGUCCACCACCAAUCAUAGAUUAUUAUUAUAAAAAUCAUUAUUCAAGCUGAAAGAAGGAUCCAAUGAAAGGCGCAUUUGUUACGCUUAAUCUAGUUGUAUUGCUGCAUUUGCUGGGAGAGAGAGACUCGCAAUCACAGAAUUUUUCAUUGAGAGUUGAAUAGUGUUACAUGUUUUCAUUAAUGGUACAACAAUAUAACCAAUUGAUCACAAUCAGUUGAAGAUGUUGAAGAAGCAAAAAAAAGUGGCAAAAAUAAUGGUACAAAAUGUGUAACAAUACGAAAUGAAAAAGGCUUCUUGAAAGCAAACUGACAAAUAGAUGUAUAUUUGCGUGAGCAAUAAUAUUCAUCAAUGGAAGACAAGAAAAGAGCAGCUUUACUUGUUACCUCAUCAUCACCAUCAUCAUCAUCUUCUUGCCCAUCUUGCCCAUCAUCACCAUCAUCAUUUUCACCGUAUACUCAGUUGAAAUAAUGUGUUGACUCUUCUCUUUGGAGAAAAAUCCAUUUUUACCUUUUCACAAAGGCAACCUCAACAUUAUUAUGAUUAUUAUUGCUGUCAGAAUGACAGUUACAAUUGCUUCUUCUUCUUCUUCUUCUUCAUCCUCAUCAUAAUCAUCAUUACAAUCAUCAUUAUAAUCAUCAACUUUCUUUCAUCAACAUCUUUACUCUCUUCACGGUCAACCUUUUACCUUUAUUCACUGGCUACUGACUUACCAGCUAUAAUUUUAUUUCAUUUCAACUUAUUUUUUCAAUUGCCAUAAUAAUGGUUUACAGUUUUAUUAUCAUUUGGUCAGCAAAUUUCAUUCCAUUUUCAUCAUGUCCGUUCAAUAUUUCCGUAAAACACUCUUAACCAGCAUCGGAAAUCCUUGGUUAACGUGAUCAUUGGAAAUGAUUGAUUUAUUUCGGGUUAGCCUUUGCUUAUUCAAAAAUGGCUCCUUCACUUUCACAUCCAUGCCGUUAGGCCUAAGCAACCUUUGGAUUUUAAAAUAUUUAACGUAAAAUGUUCAACUCAAAUUAUCAUCUAAUUAGAUGAUAAUGAAUAUUUUUGAAUUGGUUGCGUGUAAAAUAAUAAAACUCAACUUGAAGUAAUCUAUUAAUAAUUGAUGUUCAACUGUUCAUUUACUGACCCGCUAAUACACAUUUAGUUUUGUUGUGAUGAACCUUCAACCUUUUGUAUAUUGUUUACUAGAUUAACUGCGACAGGAAAUACAUUGCGUUUCAAUGUUAAUUAUAAUUUUACUUUUCUCAUCACCAUCAACAUCAUCAACAUUUACACCAACAUCGUCUUCAUCAUCUUCCUUUUCCCAUUUUCUUUGGCCUUUUUAACCCUCACUUGAUUCCACUUUACCAUUGCGUUUUUACUCUUGAUUAUUCCCAUUGUAAUCUAAUGAAAUAAUCAACUUGUUUAACAACAGAAACCUAUUUUGCUGUUGACAAUCUUUGUUCAAUGAAACUCCAAAAAAUACGAUGAUUACCAUUUGAAUAGGAUUCGCUUACCAUUCGCCUUUUCAUCCAAAAUCAUCUGGAAUCGUUUUCACUCUCAACUGGUUUUCAUUUCAAUCCGUUUACUCAAUCUAAAUGUAUAUUUGGUGUUAAUAUUGAACCAUUCAAUUGAUUACUUUGACGUUAUUACGUCGUUAAUCCUUUUGGUUGAUCACAUUUUCAUUUAAAAAUUACUUUUUCAUCAAUCAAUCCAACUUACAGUUUGUAAUGAUUUUUAUUUUAAAAUGGAUCAAAAAUCAAAAGCCAUUCAUGUACAUUGUUGGUGCAGAUAAAUCAGUUUAUUAAUAGGAAUCGAUUGUACAAAGUAAUUAAACAUUUGUUAAUAUUUAAAUACAGAAACAAGGUUAAUAUGAUCAACAAUAAAGAAAUAAUAUUUAAAAAAAAGCGACUUCACAUGACAUUUGUUAAUAUGCUUGCUAACAAUGGUUAUAUUGGUUACUGUUUAAAUCAAGGAAAUAUAAUAAACAAUUAGAUUAAUCUUUAAUCAUUUAAACAAGUU